UGCAAGUCGAGGGGCAGCUCGUGUAGCAAUACCUGGCGGCGACCGGCAAACGGGUGCGGAACACGUACGCAACCUUCCCAAAACUGGUGAAUAGCCCUCCGAAAGGAGGAUUAAUACACCGUAAGAUAAUGAGACGGCAUCGUCUUAUUAUUAUAGGCCGCAAGGUCGGUUUUGGAUGGGCGUGCGCCUGAUUAGAUAGUUGGCGGGGUAACGGCCCACCAAGUCUACGAUCAGUAACUGGUGUGAUAGCACGACCAGUCACACGGGCACUGAGACACGGGCCCGACUCCUACGGGAGGCAGCAGUAAGGAAUAUUGGUCAAUGGACGCAAGUCUGAACCAGCCAUGCCGCGUGAAGGAUGAAGGCCCUCUGGGUUGUAAACUUCUUUUAUAGGGGACGAAAAAAGCUCAUUCUUGAGCACUUGACGGUACCCUAGGAAUAAGCACCGGCUAACUCCGUGCCAGCAGCCGCGGUAAUACGGAGGGUGCAAGCGUUAUCCGGAUUUACUGGGUUUAAAGGGUGCGUAGGUGGAUUAGUAAGUCAGUGGUGAAAUCUCCGGGCUUAACCCGGAAACUGCCAUUGAUACUAUUAGUCUUGAAUUAUCUGGAGGUGAGCGGAAUAUGUCAUGUAGCGGUGAAAUGCUUAGAUAUGACAUAGAACACCAAUUGCGAAGGCAGCUCACUACGGAUAUAUUGACACUGAGGCACGAAAGCGUGGGGAUCAAACAGGAUUAGAUACCCUGGUAGUCCACGCCCUAAACUAUGGAUACUCGACAUCAGCGAUACACUGUUGGUGUCUGAGCGAAAGCAUUAAGUAUCCCACCUGGGAAGUACGAUCGCAAGAUUGAAACUCAAAGGAAUUGACGGGGGUCCGCACAAGCGGUGGA
rnacentral:rRNA from 1 species